rnacentral:rRNA from 1 species
UACAGAGGGGGCAAGCGUUGUUCGGAAUUACUGGGCGUAAAGGGCGCGUAGGCGGCCUUCUAAGUCGAACGUGAAAUCCCUGGGCUCAACCCAGGAACUGCGUCCGAUACUGGAGGGCUUGAAUCCGGGAGAGGGAUGCGGAAUUCCAGGUGUAGCGGUGAAAUGCGUAGAUAUCUGGAGGAACACCGGUGGCGAAGGCGGCAUCCUGGACCGGUAUUGACGCUGAGGCGCGAAAGCCAGGGGAGCAAACGGG